GCGGGGGUAGCAUAGGGGCGAUGCGGCGGACUGCAGAUCCGCAGAUCGGGAGUUCAAAUCUCUCCCCCCGCA
rnacentral:tRNA from 1 species